rnacentral:rRNA from 1 species
GAUGAACGCUGGCGGCGUGCUUUAUACAUGCAAGUCGAGCGAACACACGCGUAGCUUUCUUUUCUGAUGUUAGCGGCGGGCGUGUUAGUAACACGCGUAUAACCUACCUAUAAGACUGGGAUCACUUCGGGAAACCGGAGCUAAUACCGUCUAAUAUUUUGAACCGCAUGGUUCAAAAGUGAAAUACGGUCUUGCUGUCACUUAUAGCUGAAUCCGCGCUGCAUUAGCUAGUUGGUAAGGUAACGGCUUACCAAGGCAACGAUGCAUAGCCGACCUGAGAGGGUGAUCGGCCACACUGGGACUGAGACACGGUCCAGACUCCUACGGGAGGCAGCAGUAGGGAAUCUUCCGCAAUGGGCGAAAGCCUGACGGAGCAACGCCGCGUGAGUGAUGAAGGUCUUCGGAUCGUAAAACUCUGUUAUUAGGGAAGAACAGAUGUGGAAGAAAAUGUGCAGAUCUUGACGGUACCGAAUCAGAAAGCAACGGCUAACUACGUG